UGCCCGGUAGCUCAGUGGCAGAGCAGGUGACUGUUAAUCACUUGGUCGCUGGUUCGAAUCCAGCCCGGGCAGCCA
rnacentral:tRNA from 2 species